rnacentral:rRNA from 1 species
UAGGGAAUCUUCCGCAAUGGACGAAAGUCUGACGGAGCAACGCCGCGUGAGUGAAGAAGGAUUUCGGUUCGUAAAACUCUGUUGUUAGGGAAGAAAAAAUGUAUAGUAACUAUAUACAAAAGAGACGGUACCUAACCAGAAAGCCACGGCUAACUACGUGCCAGCAGCCGCGGUAAUACGUAGGUGGCAAGCGUUGUCCGGAAUUAUUGGGCGUAAAGCGCGCGCAGGUGGUUUAGAAAGUCUGAUGUGAAAGCCCACGGCUCAACCGUGGAGGGUCAUUGGAAACUAAUAAACUUGAGUGCAGGAGAGAAAGGUGGAAUUCCUAGUGUAGCGGUGAAAUGCGUAGAGAUUAGGAGGAACACCGGUGGAGAAAGCGGCUUUUUGGCCUGCAACUGACACUGAGGCGCGAAAGAGUGGGGAGCAAACAGG